UAUCAAUUCCUCGGUAAUCCCUAACCUUUCAUUUUUCUUUUCCCCUUUUCUGAAAUUCCCAAUCCAACAUCAGUAAUCCCUAACCAUUUUCCCCUUUUACCAAAUCAAACCUGACCUCCUUAUCUCCAAUUAUGACAAUACCAUCCCCUUAAACGAAUCCUUGUCCCCAAGGAUCGAAGUGUGGGAAAUGAGACUUCAAAACAUUGAAGUCCUCACAAGAAUCGUGUAAAGCAUCAAGAUUCGUCCAUCACACCAGAAGUUGUGUUACAGGGGGUUUGAAGACGGUAAAAUGGUGUUGUCGAUUUUCUUCUUCAAUAUACUAUCAUGAAAGACAGGGUGAAGUCGUAAAUUUGGAAGUAAUUCCCAGGACGAGUGCAUGUAGGGUUGCAACUUGAGUUCCUCGUGAUUUUGAAGCAUACCAUUCACCGUCUGUACAUGCGAGUCAGUUUGUCAAGCCAUAGUGGGGGGUUUGUAGCCACAAAAUGCCUGAAAAUGGGUGAGCUGCAAGGUUGUGUUGUACCACUACUCGGCGUGUGGCAACCAUUGAGCCCAUUGGUUUGGCUUUAAGAAACAAAACCCCCUUACGAACUGUUCUAGGCAUUGAUUUACUUUUUUUGUCUGCCCGUCAGUUUUAGGAUGAUAUGAUGUGUUGUAGAGUGAAGUUGUACCCAAAUGUUUCAUUAAUUCCCUCCAAAUAUUACUGGUAAA